AUCGGCAUAUCACCCCCAGACAAACGGGCUUGAUGAAAGGACGAACCAAACAUUAAAGGCAUCCAUUGGGAAUACCAUCCAGGGCCAACAGGAGAGAUGGGAGGACAGCCUCAGAGAGUUGUGUACGCACAUAAUACCUGUGUACAGGCCUCAACCAGGUACUCCCCCUUCCGCCUAAUGUUUGGGCGAGAGGCACAUCUGUUUACUGAGUUUCAGCUAAUAUCUGACUGUCCAGAGGUGACAGCUUCUGUUGAGCAAGACAAAGAUUCGGUGGAGGCCUUUGUGCAGCUCAGGGGUGGCCUAGAUGAGGAGGUUUUUGGAAAGUCAGGUGAUCUGCAAUGUGGAGAGGGCCCAGAAAAGACAGAAGCUGGCCUACCGGCAGAGGAUGAAGAGAGAAAUGAAGCGUUUCAUCAUCUCCCCUGGUAUGGAGGUCCUCAAGAAAAAUAAGAGGAAGAAGGGGAGGCCUGGGGGUACCAUGGACCCAAAUUGGA